UACGUAGGUGGCAAGCGUUGUCCGGAUUUACUGGGCGUAAAGAGCGCGCAGGCGGUCGUUCAAGUCGCGUGUGAAAGCCCCCGGCUCAACUGGGGAGGGUCACGCGAUACUGAUCGACUCGAAGGCAGGAGAGGGAAGUGGAAUUCCCGGUGUAGUGGUGAAAUGCGUAGAUAUCGGAAGGAACACCAGUGGCGAAAGCGACUUCCUGGUCCAAUACUGACGUUCAUGUGCGAAAGCGUGGGGAGCAAACAGG
rnacentral:rRNA from 1 species